GGCAAGCCGCUUGGGUCCCCUUCCAUGUUGUGGAAGCUUUGUUCUUUCACUCUUCACAAUAAAUCUUGCUGCUGCUCACUCUUUGGCUCUGCACCACCUUUAUGAGCUAUAACACUCACCACGAAGGUCUGCAGCUUCACUCCUGAGGCCAGCAAGACCACAAACUCACCGGAAGGAACAAACAACCCCAAACGCACCGCCUUUAAGAGCUGUAACACUCACCGCAAAGGUCUGCAGCUUAAUUCCUGAAGUCAGCGAGACCACGAACCCACCAGAAGGAAGAAACUCUGGACACAUCUGAACAUAUGAAGGAACAAACUCUGGACACACCAUCUUUAAGAACUGUAACACUCACUGCGAGGGUCCACGGCUUCAUUCUUGAAGUCAGCGAGACCAAGAACCCAGUAAUUCCGGACACAUUUUGGUGACCACGAAGGGACUAUCGCCUAUCACCAAGCAGUAAGACUAUCACCAAGCAGUGAGACCACUGCCUAUCGCCAAGCGAAUCGAGGCCAUCAAGCUACAGAUGGUCUUACAAAUGGAACCCCAAAUGAGCUCAAUUAACAGCUUCUACCAAGGACCCCUGGACUGACCUGCUGGGCCCUUCCACUAGCCUAAAGAGUUCCCUUCUGGAGGAGACUACAACUGCAGGGCCGCUUCUUCGCCCCUAUCCAGCAGGAAGUAGCUACAGUGGUCAUCAGCCAAAUUCCCAACAGCAGUUGGGGUGUCCUGUUUAGAGGGGGGAUUGAGAGGUGACAACGUGCUAGCAGCCCUUGCUCGCUCUCGGUGCCUCCUCGGCCUCAGCAUCUGCUCUGGCCACGCUUGAGGAACCCUUCAACCUGCCGCUGUGCUGUGGGGGCCCCUCUCUGGGGCUGGCUGAGGCCGGAGCCAGCUCUCUCUGCUUGUGGGGAGGUGUGGAGGGAGAGGUGCGGGCAAGAGCCGGGGCUGCAUGCAGCACUCGCAGGUGGCAUGGGUUCCAGGUGGGCGCAGGCUCGGAGGGCCCCGCACUCUGCACGGCCGGCCGGCACUUGCUGGGCUUGAUUGGGGUAUGAGCUCCCUCUGGGCUGCCGGAGUGCCUGGGCUAGGUGCUGCAAAGUCCCGUGGCAAGUGCCAUUGAGAGGUGAAGCCGGCUGGGCUUCUGGGUCGGGUGGGGACCUGGAGAAUUUUUCUGUCAAGCUAAAGGUUUGUAAACACACUGAUCAGUACUCUUUGUCUAGCUAAAGGUUUGUAAAUGCACCAAUCAGCAUUCUGUGUCUAGCUAAAGGUUUGUAAAUGCACCACUCAGUGCACUGUGUCUAGCUAAUCGGGUAGGGGACUUGGAGAACUUUUGUGUCUAGCUAAAGGAUUGUAAAUGCACCAAUCAGUGCUCUGUGUCUAGCUAAAGGUUUGUAAAUGCACCAAUCAGCACUCUGUCAUAACGGACCAAUCAGCUCUCUGUAAAACGGGCCAAUCACCUCUCUGUAAAAUGAACCAAUCAGUAGGAUGUGGGUGGGGCCAGAUAAGGGAAUAAAAGCAGGCCACCCGAGCCAGCAGUGGCAACCCGCUUGGGUGCCCUUCCAUGCUAUGGAAGCUUUGUUCUGUCGCUCUUUGCAAUAAAUCUUGCUGCUGCUCA